UUGUCGAAGGACAAUCCCGAGGGAAGUUAUGUUGAAAUUAAUUAAAUCUUAAUCAAAUUACUAUGGAAACAGAAAGAGCACCGUCCGGAGAAGCGCUCUGAGUAAACAUAACCCCGUAGAGACUACACGCCGAGACCGCUAUCAAGCGGUAAGAUAUAGUCCGAACUGCAUAGUAAUAUGUAGAGCACAGCAGAAAUGCCUGUGCCGGCAACUAUUAGCUAUACGCCAUAAGCUAUAAGCUAAUUUGUUAUCCGCAACAAAAUUGUAGAUACCCUAGUAGUCCACGCCCUAAACGUUGCACACUCGUCAUUGGAAGUAUCGACCCUUUCAGUGGCCAAGCUAACGCAUUAAGUGUGCCGCCUGGGAAGUACGGUCGCAAGACUAAAACUCAAAGGAAUAGACGGGAGUUCGCACAAGCGGUGGUGCAUGUGGUUCAAUUCGACGACAACCGAGGAACCUCACCAGGGUUUGAAAUGCUGGACAAAGUCGGGGGAAACCCCGAUGUACCCACAAGGAUGCCAGCACAGGUGCUGCACGGUCCUCGUCAGUUCGUGGUGUGAAUUGUUCUCUUAAGUGAGGUAACGAACGCAACCCUCAUCCUAUGUUAUAAGUGUCAUGGGAAACUGCCUCCGUUUAGGGGGAGGAAGGUGGGGAUGACGCGAGAUCAGCGUGGCCCUCUGAUACCCUGGGCUACACACGUGCAACAAUGGCGCCGACAAUGUGUCGCGAAACCGCAAGGUGGAGCCAAUCACACCAAACGGCGCCCCAGUUCAGAUUGGGGUCUGCAACUCGACCCCAUGAAGAAGGAAUCGCUAGUAAACGCGGAUCAGCUACGCCGCGUUGAAUACGUUCUCGAACUUUGUACUCACCGCCCGUCACGUCAAGAGAGCCGGGAGUAGCCGAAAUCUGCUUUAUGCGGCCUAAGCUAAGCUCGGUGAUAGGGACGAAGUCGUAACAAGGCAUGGCUAGCGGAAGCUGGUCAUG
rnacentral:rRNA from 1 species